AUUGAACGCUGGCGGCAUGCCUUACACAUGCAAGUCGAACGGUAACAGGGAGCUUGCUCCGCUGACGAGUGGCGAACGGGUGAGUAAUGCAUCGGAACAUGUCCGGUAGUGGGGAAUAACCUAUCGAAAGGUAGGCUAAUACCGCAUAUGCCCUACGGGGGAAAGCGGGGGACCUUAUGGCCUCGCGCUAUCGGAGUGGCCGAUGUCGGAUUAGCUAGUUGGUGAGGUAAAAGCUCACCAAGGCAACGAUCCGUAGCGGGUCUGAGAGGAUGAUCCGCCACACUGGGACUGAGACACGGCCCAGACUCCUACGGAGGCAGCAGUGGGGAAUUUUGGACAAUGGGCGAAAGCCUGAUCCAGCCAUGCCGCGUGAGUGAAGAAGG
rnacentral:rRNA from 1 species